GACAGAGGGUGCAAACGUUGCUCGGAAUUACUGGGCGUAAAGCGCGUGUAGGCGGACCGGAAAGUCAGAUGUGAAAGCCCUGGGCUCAACCCAGGAAUUGCAUUUGAAACUUCCGGCCUUGAGUGGUGGAGAGGGAAGCGGAAUUCCUGGUGUAGAGGUGAAAUUCGUAGAUAUCAGGAGGAACACCGGUGGCGAAGGCGGCUUCCUGGACACUAACUGACGCUGAGACGCGAAAGCGUGGGGAGCAAACAGG
rnacentral:rRNA from 1 species